UCUAAGAAAAUGCAAUUCCUAGGUGCAGCAGAACAGAAUUUCAGGGAGGUGCUGUGAUGAACGCCAUCUAUUCAGCUGGACGGGAAGCACACUAUUAUGUAUGGAUGACGUGACAGUAAGAAAUCUCACAAAAUUACCUCCCUUAAAAUAACAGUCACGCUUGAUCCCUCGUAGCUCGCUAGAAAGCCAUCUCAAGCCUCGGGAGAUCACGAGCCAGUUUUACAGUCGGCACGCUCUCUGUCCUUCCCACACCUUUCCAGAUCAGACAGGCCCACAUAACCAUUGCGUACGAACAACUACACAACGCUCAGUCAGAGUGGGAAAUACCACGAUAUUGGUAAGAUUCAAAGCUGUACAAGAACAACAUGUCAGUGCAACAGUAUAAUAGACAAGGACUUAUGAUUUUAUUGUACAAUUGAUUUUGGCAGGAUUUCAGAAGCUGUAUACAGUACAACAAAGAUAAUUACAAAAACGUGU
rnacentral:lncRNA from 1 species